rnacentral:tRNA from 1 species
UGCAGAAUGGCCUAGGGAGAAAAGCAUAGGCUUUGGAGUUCGAGGACCUGAGUUCUAAUCUCAGUUCUGCCA